UUAACUCGUUUGUAUAAUACUCGGAGAUGCUAAUAAAAAGACAAGAGUAUGCGGGCCGCCGGCGGGCGCCGCGGGUUUCCCCGGGGAGCGCCACGCCGAGGCAACGACGGUAGGUAAGAUUCACAGUGGUAUUACGGGAGUAUGACGUCCUGUAAUGAUCCCUCCGCUGGUUCACCAACGGAGA
rnacentral:misc_RNA from 1 species